AGUUUGAUCCUGGCUCAGGACGAACGCUGGCGGCGCGCCUAACACAUGAAUUAGAACCCAGAGAAAGAUUCUUCUUUCCAGAGGAGUGCCGAAGGGGUAAUAAACGGUGGAGGACCUCCCUCAAAAGAGGGGGCCACGCGUUGAAACCGCUUUUUUAUCCCCCAUAACCCCCCGGGUUGGCCUUCCCCAAGAGAAAAAGGAUUUACCCCUUUUGAGAUGCCUCGCUUCCGAUUAACUUAGUUGGUGGAGUAAUGGCCCACCAAGGCGACAAUCGGUACCCGGACUGAGAGGUUGAACGGCCACAUUGGGAUUGAGACGCGGCCCAGACUCCUACGGGAGGCAGCAGUGGGGAAUAUUGCACAAUGGGGGAAACCCUGAUGCAGCGACGCCGCGUGGAGGAAGAAGGUCUUCGGAUUGUAAACUCCUGUUGUUGAGGAAGAUAAUGACGGUACUCAACAAGGAAGUGACGGCUAACUACGUGCCAGCAGCCGCGGUAAAACGUAGGUCACAAGCGUUGUCCGGAAUUACUGGGUGUAAAGGGAGCGCAGGCGGGAAAGCAAGUUGGAAGUGAAAUCCAUGGGCUCAACCCAUGAACUGCUUUCAAAACUGUUUUUCUUGAGUAGUGCAGAGGUAGGCGGAAUUCCCGGUGUAGCGGUGGAAUGCGUAGAUAUCGGGAGGAACACCAGUGGCGAAGGCGGCCUACUGGGCACCAACUGACGCUGAGGCUCGAAAGUGUGGGUAGCAAACAGGAUUAGAUACCCUGGUAGUCCACACUGUAAACGAUGAUUACUAGGUGUUGGAGGAUUGACCCCUUCAGUGCCGCAGUUAACACAAUAAGUAAUCCACCUGGGGAGUACGACCGCAAGGUUGAAACUCAAAGGAAUUGACGGGGGCCCGCACAGGCAGUGGAGUAUGUGGUUUAAUUCGACGCAACGCGAAGAACCUUACCAAGUCUUGACAUCCUGCGACGGUGCUGGAAACAGUACUUUCCUUCGGGACGCAGAGACAGGUGGUGCAUGGUUGUCGUCAGCUCGUGUCGUGAGAUGUUGGGUUAAGUCCCGCAACGAGCGCAACCCUUAUGGUCAGUUACUACGCAAGAGGACUCUGGCCAGACUGCCGUUGACAAAACGGAGGAAGGUGGGGAUGACGUCAAAUCAUCAUGCCCUUUAUGACUUGGGCUACACACGUACUACAAUGGCGUUAAACAAAGAGAAGCAAGACCGCGAGGUGGAGCAAAACUCAGAAACAACGUCCCAGUUCGGACUGCAGGCUGCAACUCGCCUGCACGAAGUCGGAAUUGCUAGUAAUCGCAGAUCAGCAUGCUGCGGUGAAUACGUUCCCGGGCCUUGCACACACCGCCCGUC
rnacentral:rRNA from 1 species